GUUGUUGUUGUAGUUGUUUGUUCUUUGUUGUGGCUGUUAUUGACGUUGUUGUUGAACUGGAAUUGAUUGAUUAUUUGAAUUGUUUGAAAAUACUGGAAUAACUAAUGAAACCUGGUGAUGAUGCUGACGCGGUUGCAGAUUUCUUUUGACAUGAGGCCUCCUCUGCCUUCCUACUGACACUGCAUUGGUUUCACCUUCCUUCUUUCUGGCGAAAAUGCUUCCAUAUUUCUUGCUCGAUGACACCUCUUCCUUAGACAGACGUCCCU
rnacentral:lncRNA from 1 species